rnacentral:rRNA from 1 species
AUGCAAUGGAAGCCGAACUCUGUGCUUUUGCAACGAUCAGUUCUUCCUAUUCUGCUAGAGGUGGAUUUAGUCUCAGCGGUGAACAUUCUCAAGGAUGAAGUUUUUGACAGAUUGCUGCUUGCUUCUUUGGCGGCAGAGAUUAAAUAUUUGCUUUCCCUUUGUAAAACUUGUAUUAUUACUCAUAUUAAGCGUAGCCAAAAUGUUGUUGGUGAUUUCUUGGUGAACUUUGCUACAACUGAGAAUAGAGCUGUUGUUUGGUUGGGCUCAGGGCAAGCAGAUGUAGUACAAAAUGCACCAUUUGUAUCUUGGUUUUGUCCAUGUGCCAACAAACAACCUUUACACCAAUUUUUGGACCCUUAA